rnacentral:rRNA from 1 species
GAUGAACGCUGGCGGCGUGCUUAACACAUGCAAGUCGAACGGGGAUGUGAUGUGCGAGGGAAAUAGCUUGCUAUAGACUAAACUUUUCACAUCCGAGUGGCGGACGGGUGAGUAACGCGUGGGUAACCUGCCGUAUGCAGGGGGAUAACACUUAGAAAUAGGUGCUAACACCGCAUAAGCGCACGGGAGCGCAUGCUCCUGUGUGAAAAACUCCGGUGGCAUACGAUGGACCCGCGUCUGAUUAGCCAGUUGGCAGGGUAACGGCCUACCAAAGCGACGAUCAGUAGCCGGCCUGAGAGGGCGGACGGCCACAUUGGGACUGAGACACGGCCCAA